rnacentral:rRNA from 1 species
CCCUUAGAUGUUCUGGGCCGCACGCGCGCUACACUGAUGCAUUCAACGAGUUUCUUCCUGGUCCGAGAGGAAUGGGUAACCUUUUGAAAGUGCAUCGUGAUAGGGAUAGACUAUUGCAAUUAUUGGUCUUCAACGAGGAAUUCCUAGUAGACGUAGUUCAUCAGACUGCAUCGAUUACGUCCCUGCCCUUUGUACACACCGCCCGUCGCUCCUACCGAUUGAAUGCUCAGGUGAGCCAUUCGGACUUUCAUCAUGCUGGUUUCCAGUUUUGAUGAAGGAAAGUCUUGCGAACCUUAUCAUUUAGAGGAAGGAGAAGGCGGAACA